rnacentral:rRNA from 1 species
GACGAACGCUGGCGGCGUGCCUAAUACAUGCAAGUUGAGCGCUGAAGGUUGGUACUUGUACCAACUGGAUGAGCAGCGAACGGGUGAGUAACGCGUGGGGAAUCUGCCUUUGAGCGGGGGACAACAUUUGGAAACGAAUGCUAAUACCGCAUAAAAACUUUAAACACAAGAUUUAAGUUUGAAAGAUGCCAUUGCAUCACUCAAAGAUGAUUCCGCGUUGUAUUAGCUAGUUGGGGAGGUAAAGGCUCACCAAGGCGAUGAUACAUAGCCGACCUGAGAGGGUGGUCGGCCACCUUGGGACUGGGACACGGCCCAAACUCCUUCGGGGGGCAGCAGUAGGGAAUCUUCGGCAAUGGACGAAAGUCUGACCGAGCAACGCCGCGUGAGUGGAGAAGGUUUUCGGGUCGUAAAACUCUGUUUGUAGAGAAGAAAGUUGGUGAGAGUGGAAAGCUCAUCAAGUGACGGUAACUACCCAGAAAGGGACGGCUAACUACGUG